rnacentral:rRNA from 1 species
UGCCAGCAGCCGCGGUAAUACGGAGGGAGCGAGCGUUAAUCGGAAUUACUGGGCGUAAAGCGCGCGUAGGCGGCUUUGUAAGUCGGAUGUGAAAGCCCUGGGCUCAACCUGGGAAUGGCAUUCGAAACUGCAGAACUAGAGUAUGGUAGAGGGAAGUGGAAUUUCCGGUGUAGCGGUGAAAUGCGUAGAUAUCGGAAGGAACACCGGUGGCGAAGGCGACUUCCUGGGCCAAUACUGACGCUGAGGCGCGAAGGCCAGGGUAGCGAAAGGGAUUAGAUA